GACGUAGGGCGCGAGCGUUGUCCGGAUUUAUUGGGCGUAAAGAGCGCGCAGGCGGCUUGGCAAGUCGGGUGUGAAAUCCCGGGGCUCAACCCCGUGACUGCAUCCGAUACUGUCAGGCUAGAGGUAGGUAGGGGAGAUCGGAAUUCCUGGUGUAGCGGUGAAAUGCGCGGAUAUCAGGAGGAACACCGGUGGCGAAGGCGGAUCUCUGGGCCUUACCUGACGCUCAGGCGCGAAAGCUAGGGGAGCGAACAGG
rnacentral:rRNA from 1 species